UAAAUUUAACAUUCACUUAAAUAUCUAUUGCAGUUUCUUUUGGGUUCUUCCAGAAUAAUUUUUUCUUAUUCUUUACCUUAAUUUUUAAGGGUAUUCAAGAAGAUCUCCAUGUUUAUAAAAUCUAAGUUAACCAUUUCUCCCCUUUUCAUUCUGAUGUAUAAGUUUACAGCCCAGAAAUAGGUUGCUAAAGCUAUGUUUUAAUAUUACGUGAAUGCACAAAAGAUGGAGGAUUCUCUAUGGGAGGAUGCAUGGCAAUGCAUUUAGCAUAUAGAAAUCAUCAAGAUGUGGCAGGAGUAUUUGCUCUUUCUAGUUUUCUGAAUAAAGCAUCUGCUGUUUACCAGGCUCUUCAGAAGAGUAAUGGUGUACUUCCUGAAUUAUUUCAGUGUCAUGGUACUGCAGAUGAGUUAGUUCUUCAUUCUUGGGCAGAAGAGACAAACUCAAUGUUAAAAUCUCUAGGAGUGACCACGAAGUUUCAUAGUUUUCCAAAUGUUUACCAUGAGCUAAGCAAAACUGAGUUAGACAUAUUGAAGUUAUGGAUUCUUACAAAGCUGCCAGGAGAAAUGGAAAAACAAAAAUGAAUGAAUCAAGAGUGAUUUGUUAAUGUAAGUGUAAUGUCUUUGUGAAAAGAGAUUUUUACUGCCAAAUUAUAAUGAUAAUUAAAAUAUUAAGAAAUAACACUUUCCUGACUUUUUUAUUAUUAAAAUGCUUAUCACUGUAGACAGUAGCUAAUCUUAUUAAUGAAAAACAAUAGACAAACAUCUGUGCAUAAUUUUUCAGACACAAUUCUGUAAAUAUUUGGAAACCUUUUAAGUAUUUAAACUUUUAAAUUUUUGAAAUAAAGUAUUCUAAACUAAUAUAAAUAAGGACAAUGAAAAAACAUGAAAGGACUUAGCAUAGUGUUAUUUUAUCUUUUCUACAACUUUGUUUAAAUUACCUUUCCAAAGAUAUUUGUGUUUAUGUAAUUUUCCACGGAAUAACAUUAAUACUCUAGGUUUAUAAACCGGUUUCGCAUUAUUUCAUUUGAUCAUCACAAGAGCUUUGUGAAGUAAGCCGAGAAGUUGUUACUGGUAUUUAAUAAUAGCAAUAGAGGAGUUAAAGACUUUCCCACAGCUUGCAGGUCAAGACAAGAAAUUCAGGUCUCCUAAUUCUCAGUGGAGCUCUAUUUCUGUUAACCCAAAUUGCUGCUCUGUUUUAGGUCUCAAUUUCAUCUGUAAAAUGAUAUUAAUAGUACUUAUCCCAUUGGAUUUUUGUUGAGAUUUAAAUAAAUAGCCAAAAGCCAAUACAUAAUAAACACUCAAUAAAGAUUAACCAUAAGGAGAGUCAUGAUCUAGUUCCAGGAAUACAUUGUUAGAUGACUGAAAAAUUGUAUUACUUCAAUGAAAAUACUAUAAAUAAUAACAUUUUCAUAUAUUAGUUGGUUCUCAUGCAUACAUAAUCUAAUUUUAUUUGAUCCUCACAACUUUUUUAUUAAGUAUACAUUAUCCCUAUUUGUAUAAAUAGAAUCAUACAAUACCUGCCUGCUUUCAUUCAACAAAAUUAUCAUGAGAUUUUUCCAUGUUGUGUACAUCAAUAGUUCAUCUAUUUUAUUGCUCAGUAAUAUUCCAUUGUGUGGAUGUAUCACUAUUUGUUUACACAUUCACCACUGAUAUAUAAGUUGCUUCCAGUGUGAGGCUGUUAUAAAUAAAGCUGCUAUGAAUAUUCAUGUAAGA
rnacentral:sRNA from 1 species